AGGUCCCACAAGCUGUGUUGUGUGGCCAAAAAAAAAAAGAAAACCGAAAAACAAACAAGAAAACCAAAUCAUUAAAAAGCAAGAAGAAAAAGAAGAGAGACAGAGACCCAAUGGGAGAUUCCACGUGACGACAGAGGCAGAGAAGGGAGUGAUGUUCCUACAAGCCCAGGAGGUCCGAGGAUUACAGUCAACCACCAGAAGCUACGAGAGAGGCAUGGAACAGAUUCUCCCUUCGAGCCUUCGCAGAGAUCAUGGUCCUGCAGACACUCUGAUUUCAGACUUCUGGCCUCCAGGACUACGAGACAAUAAGUUUCUGUUGUUUAAAGCCACCCAGUUUGUGGACAUUUUUUAGGGCAGCCUUAGCAAACGAGUACAACUACAAACUGGAAAUGGGGUUUGAACUUAAUGUUGAGACCAAUUAUGGAAAAGGAAAGACAAUUAGAUUUCUGUACCUGUCCCCAUAUUUUAUGUUAACUCAGGCAUUGAGCUCGUAUUAUAUUCCUUACAAAGGUAAGCUUUCAUGUCACCUUUGCAUCUGGGCGACCCUGAUGUGCUUCUCUCCAUGUAGCAGUUCCCCGAGUUUAUCUGCUCUCCUGGUUCUUGUGUCAUGAAGCUAGCCUGAAUUGGCUCAAGUCAGAAUUCGCACCAACUGAGGAAACAGAUACAGUUUACAACCAAGUAUACUUUGCAGUAAAACAACCAACAAAAGCAACAACCACAACAAACAGGUCAAGGUCUCACCAGGAAGGGAGUUAGUGAGUUACAGUGUUUUCUCAUACAAACGUGUACCAUCAGGGUCAAUCUGCUGGGGUGACUGAAGGGCUCCGGGGAGGCCUCCUCGGUCAGAUUGCUUGUACAGGUGUCUGAGAUCCAUCAUGUGGCAUCAUUCCUUUGCUUCUUGAAGGUGUCGUCCGUUUUACAAUUAAAGCACAAAUAUCUCCCAAGAAAGUUCAGCUCACAGCUUAAGCUCUUAGCAAUAGCUGGCAGAUUUUUGUUGUGUGAUUUCUGUCCUGGACCUAGAGGAGAGGUGAGGAAGGAACAAGGAAGGCCGUGGCCAGCUUCCCAGUGUGGCUGAGCGCGAGGUCAUCAUGAUCAUCAACAGGCAAUAUUCGAUGAGCAUCCAUGUCGUUAGGAUGACAAUUAACUUAGAAAGCAUGCACUAUAUUUUCAAAAUAGAAAGGAGUUCAUUAAUAAAACAAAGAGUCCUGUCUUCCCCAUAUGAUUGGUGGUGAGGCCCAUCUACUCUGGGUCAGCUGACCACUAGCUCUGUGACCAUGGCAGGCUGCUUCUCCUUUUUAAACCCCAAGUUAUGGCUCAUCUGUGAAAUGGGCUAAUAGUGUUACCUACCUCAUUAGGUGGUUACAAGAUGCAAGUGAAGUAAAUUAUCUAAAGCCCUGAUGCUAUUGCUUGGCGCAGGGUAAGUGCUCAAGAAACGUUAGUAUAUCAUCGAUCUGUGACUUUUCUCCCGUCAGGUUAGUGCGUGGUUGGGUUUCUUCGUGCAGUGCUGGUUUUGUGCUAAAAUCAUCUGCGUUGUUCCACAGAGUGGCCAGGGCUGUAUUAAUAUGAAUUCAGACAUCGGUGCGUCAAAGAGCAGUCAAGACCCCCAACGCUGGGCAGCGCCCGCACUGUGCCACUUAUUGUGUAUUUUUCCUGUUUGAAAAUAUGCUGAAGUAAAAGAAAGCGUCAGGAUAAGAGAAAUCCCGCAGCUGUUUUUAGCUUGUAAAACACUUAGAUAGAGCUUACUGUGUGCUUUACAAAUACAGACUCGUUUGAUCCCCCUACGAUUCCGUCAGGUAAAACCUAUUAUUAUCCUCAUUUUACACAGGAGGCGACGGCGACGCGGAGGGGUAAGUCAUUUCCUGGGGUCGCCAGGCUAGUGUAAGAAGGGGACGCUUCUCCUCCCAUUAUGUCUCUAUCCACGUUCCUUGAAAAUCUGUGCCAGUCAGAGCUUUGUGGACAUUUUCAGUGUGACCACAUCUGGGAUGAUGGAGGGUGAUCUGGCCAAAAAAGGAAGUGGAUUGAAUUUUUAGGGAAGGGGAGCCUCUGUGGACCAUGUACCAUCUUCUGGCAGGCAGAGGGUGAGGGCAAGAGUUGGCAUCCCUGAAGAGUUCUGACAGCCUUCUUUAUCUCCACCCGCAGGGGAAGAAGCCGAGCAGCCUGAGACAGUGAGGCAGUUAUCAGUCACCAGCUCCCUGAUGACAGAGGAGAGGAGAAAGGAGAUUUUCAGAACCCAGUUAUGUUAGACAUAUUAACAGAGGAAUCUAACGUGACAGAAGGAAAAAAAAGAGGAGAUUCUUGCCCCCGAGGGCUAAAGCAUUUAGUUGCCACAUCACUGAACUGGGCUUUGCAAAAGGAGCUGGUAGACGGAUGCGCUAACAGCAGGUCUCCACCACUACCCGUCAAUCACCUCUCUGUUCAGCUUGCCCCUGGGAUGAUGCUGGGGAGACACAGAAGUACCUCUAGCACUUCCUCGGGAUGGCUUGUUUCUCAUGACCUCAUCACAGUGAAAAGAAGAUGGAUUUCUCAACCACUUCCUCCUGCAGUAGGAGUUUGAAAAGUGCCGUGAAGUAGAUCGAGCAAGCUCCUGAAACAGCCGCUAAAAGAACCGUUUGUAUUCUGCCAAUGAUCUUCAGAAAGGAGAGAUGCAGCCUCCCUUGAAAAGGCUAUCCUCUGACUUCUCCAAAGUUAGCCUGACCCACUGGCAAAGAUGCCUGCCUACACUGGGGAGACGCUGGGCUGGAGUCAGUGUGGUCUUUGUCUGUUUACUGGAUCCUGGGGCACUGGGAGGGAGGCUGCAUGCAGCCUGUUAGUUCGGGGCCUGAAGUAAUAGGAAAGCACUUAGUGGAAGUAACCAGCGCUGGGAUCCUCCUUCUUGCCCCCAAACAAGCUGUAAAAGUGAAUUUGAGCUCCGUGGAGACAGGUAUUAAACGCAGUCAUUUUUUUUUUAAACAUUUUUAUUGGAGUAUAAUUGCUUUACAAUGGUGCGUUAGUUUCUGCUCUAUAACAAAGUGAA